UACGGGGGGAGCAAGCGUUGUUCGGAUUUACUGGGCGUAAAGGGCGCGUAGGCGGCCACCGCAAGUCGGUUGUGAAAUCUCCGGGCUUAACCCGGAAAGGUCAAUCGAUACUGCGGGGCUAGAGUGCAGAAGGGGCAACUGGAAUUCUCGGUGUAGCGGUGAAAUGCGUAGAUAUCGAGAGGAACACCUGCGGCGAAGGCGGGUUGCCGGGCUGACACUGACGCUGAAGCGCGAAAGCUAGGGGAGCGAACGGG
rnacentral:rRNA from 1 species